ACGGAGUAGUUGAUCAGUGGCUCGAGGAGAACGCUGGCGGCGUGCUUAACACAUGCAAGUCGAGCGGUAAGGCCCUUCGGGGGUACACGAGUGGCGAACGGGUGAGUAACACGUGGGUGAUCUGCCCUGCACUUUGGGAUAAGCCUGGGAAACUGGGUCUAAUACCGAAUAUGACCUCGGACUUCACGGUUUGUGGUGGAAAAGCUUUUGCGGUGUGGGAUGGGCCCGCGGCCUAUCAGCUUGUUGGUGGGGUAAUGGCCUACCAAGGCGACGACGGGUAGCCGGCCUGAGAGGGUGUCCGGCCACACUGGGACUGAGAUACGGCCCAGACUCCUACGGGAGGCAGCAGUGGGGAAUAUUGCACAAUGGCGCAAGCCUGAUGCAGCGACGCCGCGUGGGGGAUGACGGCCUUCGGGUUGUAAACCUCUUUCAGUAGGGACGAAGCGCAAGUGACGGUACCUACAGAAGAAGCACCGGCCAACUACGUG
rnacentral:rRNA from 1 species